rnacentral:lncRNA from 1 species
CUUCUCUCAAAGUCUAACUUGCACUUCAUGGGAAAGGAUUUUCAUUUAAGCAAAAGAUCUUGUCUCACAUAUCCAAUGCUGGACUAAAAAAAGAUGACGCUUUAAAACAUUAAUUUAUUUUUUAAAAUUUAAAUAUUUUUCAAAUUAAAAUUUCAAUAGUUGUAGAUAGGGUUGCGAGAAAGGGAUAUCACAAUUCACCAG